UUCCGGUUGAUCCUGCCGGCGGCCACCGCUAUAGGAAUUCGAUUAAGACAUGCGAGUCGAGAGCCGUCAAAAGCUCGGCGGACUGCUCAGUAACACGUGGAGAACGUGCCCUUAAGCGGAGGAUAAUCUCGGGAAAUUGAGGAUAAUACUCCAUAGGUCAUGGGAUCUGGAACGACCCAUGGCCGAAAGCUCCGGUGCUUAAGGAUCGCUCUGCGGCUUAUCAGGUCGUAGUGGAUGUAACGUACCCCCUAGCCGACGACGAGUAUGGGCCUUGAGAGAGGGAGCCCAGAGUUGGAUUCUGAGACACGAAUCCAGGCCCUACGGGGCGCAGCAGUCGCGAAAACUUCACACUGGGGGCAACCCCGAUGAGGGAAUCCCUAGUGCCAGGGCUUUUUGUCCUGGCUUUUCUCCAGC
rnacentral:rRNA from 1 species